UUGGAGCUUUCAGUUGUUGUUGUGGGUCUUGUUCGUGGCUUUGCUGAAAGGGGAGAAUUUGUGGGUCACUUGUACCAACUAGAAUUGAGCUGAGCUUUUGGUGGAUCUUGUCAAUUUGGAGCUACCUACAGCUGGAUUGCCAGAUAUUCCAGCAGGUUUUGAGCUGAGUUGUUCUGGAUUAUUUGGAGUCCCUGUUGGUUCUGGGCAGAGAGGAGAGACCUGGAGCUAGUGGAUUCCUUGCCGUAGUUGGUUUAGCUCUUGAGGUCGGCCAAUGUCUACCGAAAUAAUGAAAUGCUCCCUAUGUCUAGUUUUCUACAUGCUUCAUUUGUGGGCAUUGUAAAUCUAAAAUUUCUCAUGUUAGCAUGUGUAAUGCCAUAGUAUAUGUUGUACAUUUCUGGCUGUUAAUUGGAUUAUGAUUAUCAGCAUGUAGAAAAGUGAACUAUGGCAUCUAAAAUUAGCUCA